AGCUGCUGCAGCGAGGCAGGCAGCCCCGGGCACCAUCACAGGUGCCAACUGUGUUACAGGCUAGGCCAGAUCACAAGCAGCUUCUGCUGUGGGCACCAGUGUCUGGACGAGGGGAACGCAGUAGCACCUGGAAACUAGGAGACAUCAGGAACCUCAGAGCCACAAAGAGGGUGUUAAAGCAUGUCACAGCCCUGGCGUGGGGAGCCGUGAGGUCUGGGCUCCCAGAAGGGCUGCAGCUCUUCUCUGCUUCUCAUCACCUGCAGUGCAGUGAGUGGGGGAGAGGCUGAAAUAAGAAUGGAUCCUACUUAGAUACAUCUAUAAAAAAAUGGUCACCCUGCUCUUGGAGUUCAGCAGUGGGCAGAUCAGGCCAAUGGAGCUGUUGAAUGGUGGUGGAGCCAAC
rnacentral:lncRNA from 1 species